UUUUGCUCAGGUUCGAGGGCAUCUUUGAUUUUUCUCAUUCUUCCCAAGACCUUACAUGGUCUGGCCCCCGCAUUCCUCCUUUGCCCCAGCCUCCUACUUUCCCCCCUCCCUUAAGACCCAAGCUGCACUGGCCUCCUUGCUAUUUCUUGAACAUGUCAGAUGCUCCUGCCUUAACACCUUUGUGGUGGCUGUUCCACCUGCCUGAACCCCCUUUCCCAGACACCCCAACGACUAACUCCUUUACCUCUUGCAGGCUUUCUCAUAAAGGUCAUUCUCUUAGAAGGGCCAACCUUGACCAUUCCUAUUUAAAACUGCAAUCUGUCCUCUCACAGGCAAGGCCUAUGCCCUCCUUCCUCUCUCUGCACUCCUUUCUUUCCAGUGCACUCAUCACCUUUGACAUACUGUGACUUUUUUUAUCUUAUUGUGUUUAUUGCCUUAUUGUGUUAUAUGUAUUAUCUAUUAUAUUAUUAUCUUUUAUUUUUUGUUUAUUGCCUGCUCCUCCUGCUACAACAUAAGUGCUCCGUGGCAGGUGUCUUUGCUCAUUUUACUAACUUCUCUUAAGCACCUACGACUCAACCUGUCACAUAGCAGGUGUUCAACAAAUGUUUAUCAAGUGAAUAAAUGUAUUCUUUUCUAUGCUUCUUUAAAUAAAUACAGCUGACCCUUGAACAAUGUCGAGGUUAGGGGUGCUGACCCCACACACAGUCAAAAAUCCACAUAUGACUUUUGACUCUUUCAAACUUAACUACUAAUAGCCUACAAGUAGUCUUACCAAUAACAUGAACAAUCAAUUGAUAUGUAUUUUGUAUGUCAUCUAUAUUAUACACUGUAUUCUUACAAUAAAGUAAGCUAGAGGACAGCAAGUAUUAUUAAGGAAAUCAUAAGGAAGAGAAAACAUACUUACUAUUCAGUAAGUGGGAAUGGAUCAUCAUAAAGGUCUUCAUCCUUGUCAUCUUCAUGUUGAGUGGGCUGAGGAAGAGGAGGAGGAAAAGGAGUUGGUCUUGCUGUCUCAAGAGUGGCAGAGGUGAAAAAAAUCUGCCUAGAAGUGGACCCACAGAGUUCAAACCUGUGUUGUUCAAGGGUCCACCGUAUAACCAUGAUAUUAGCAUUGUGAACAUUCUCUCUUCGUCUCCUCCUUCCACCUACCCAACUCUCCACUCAGGGGAGAUUUAUAAGCAAGAUUUUGAACACUGAAAAUCAAAUUAAGUGGUCUGGAAAAGCUGCAAUGGCAAACAGGGGAAAACGAUUUGGAAAGCAGCCCUUAACCCUACAUUUUCCUAUCCUGUGAAAGCUGUGAAGAAUUGUGCCUACACGAGGCCAAUGGCCCCAGCUCUAUCCUCUAAUCACCUUCUUCUUCUAUUUCCCAAAUGUAACACUUACCCAGCCAACAAGUAAGGAAAUAGAUUAGAAAGCUUUUGAGUGACUCUUUUAGUGAACCUGGACCCCAAUCAAUCAGAAAAGUUACGUGGGAUUAUGCCAUUGGCAUUAGUUUUUCAUGUAUGGUAAAUACAUGGGUUCGUCUCAUUUGAAAGGAAUAGGCACAUUCGUGUCAUCUUAAGAACUGGGGUUUUAUGAUUUAUUUAAGGAGCCAUCUAGUAAUAAGGUAUACAGGGGUAGGACAGAACCUAAUGUAUUACAGGCUCCAUAGAGGAUAGACUUGGGAGGUUGUUCAGGACUGAAGCUGGCUCUGGGCUCCUUGUUGGCUUGUUGCCCCAUUAACAUCAGGAAUUCUUGGAUCUUCACUAUGGCACUCCCAUUGGUAUGGAUCUCCUACUGUCUAUUGAUUUCUGCUUCUCUCUAGGCAUUUUCUUUUUUCUCUUCUUGUACCAUCUGACUGACUCCAUCCAUGUCUCCAGGAGGAAGAAUGUGACCAUACUUGCUAAUUACCAUGGUCCACGCUUAGGGCUCUUACCCCAUGGCCUCUUGUAGGUCAUCAGUCAACCCACAAAGUGGCUGCCUGUGGUUUAGGUAGGACCAUUAAUCAAGGGGAACACAGCAGGCUUGUGUUUCACCAUAAUCAUAGCCAACCCCUCUUUGAGACUAUUCCCCACAGGACCUCUGGGAUCGUGUCAAGCUCAAUACAUUGAUCCAGGUACCCAGAACGCCAGUCACUGUGUCUUUGUCCCCACUCAGAACACAUUACCCCUGAUCUUUUCUUACCAGCAUUCUAACCCUCUAGCCUUCAUCGUGGGGAAGCGUUGACAGCUUAAUACGAAACAGUCUCACCACAAAACAACCUGCUGGUUUCUGGAAACUCCCCAGCUCCCAGACUAAGGCAUUCAGGACAAUCCAAACUCCCAUUUCCACAAAUUCCAGAAUGGAUUUUCAUAAGCAUCAGGAACACUGAAAGGGCCUGUAGGCUCCACAGGGCACCUACAUUUCCUGGGGCUUCCCUCAGAAAGAAGGUGGAGGGUAAAUGCGGUGGCCGCGUAUAAGGAAAGGAAAAUGAAGGUUUUCAAGCCUGCAUGAAGCCUAGAAAGUGCCACUGUGUGUAGCCACACCCAUAAAUAUUUUUGCUUUGGUAAAAUUACAGGCAGAGGGCCCUGCCAAUUCAGAAAACAAUCUAUUGGCUGCCAUUGCCUUGUGUUCCACACUCUGUGCGGUACCCACUGCAUAGAGAAAGUCACCUGGAAUUAAUAGGAUUCCUUGAUAUUUGUUUUCAACAAAUACUUCCUGAAUGCCUACUAUGCACCAAACUCCACAGUCAGGAACAGGCCUAAUCCUGUUGGUGUUUUUAUUUCAGUCUCAGCUCUGUCAACCUGCUUGAAGCUGCAAGGAAUUUGGUGCUCGGGGACAGGCCUCCACAAGUCCAAUGAAGUUGGCUGCGUUUCUGAUUCACUUCUCUAUCCAAGAAUAAAAAUAGGGGCUGAUCUACUCAAACGAUCCUGGGAGAUUAAAAGAUUUUGAAGCCAAAACAAAACCCGAGAUAAGCUGCCUACGUGUGCGUGAGGAGGCAAGUCAGUUCCAGGAGCCAGCAGUGUCCGGGAAGGGCUCCCCGCAGCCUGACAGGACUUGUCCCAGCGACCUCUUCCCUCCCGAGGUCCUGUUACCUGUGUGCGUGUCAGGACAAAGCCCUCUGUGCCACUGGCCUCCCUCUCACGUGGUGCUGUCCUGCCCUUUUUUGCUCGGGCUCACAGAGCACGGCCCAGAAAGGACUAAUGGUGCCGGUGCUGUAGCAGGACCUCCUCUAUUUGGGACAGCCUAGCACGUGAAAUCCUCUAGGACCCCCAGCCUGCAGUGGGUGGUCAGUGUGUGCAGUGAAAGAGCAGGGAUUCCAAUGUUGAGCUGAGGUGAAUGUAAAGGGGGAAGACCUCUCAGAAGAUGCAGGUAGGAACGGGAGCAAGAGUCCCCCUAAGCAAUCUUUCCUUCUUUGCCUUCCACCAGAUGUUUGCUAAACAUCUGGAAGCAAACACCUGGACCACCUGCAACUUGGCAGAGGGAAGGAGCCUGGCCAAGAGAAUAAAAAAGGACCAGCCACACUUCACUGUAAGCCAUAUCCCCAGGCUUCUCAUUUCCCCUACCUGGGGAGGCAAUGACAAUAAUAGACUUCAGAAGUUAAUUGACUUAAUGAGUGGAACUCCUUCAAUCCAUUGAAGGCCUCAGUAGAACAACAACAACAAAAAGUGGAGGGAGAGAAAAUUCUUUCUCUCUGCCUAAUUGCUUGAGCUGGGUUAUUGUGUUCUCCUGCCCUCAGACUGCGACUUACACCUUUGGUUCUCCAGUUUCAUUUCUGUGGACUUGGACUAGAACUCAUACCAUCAGUUCUGGUUCUCAGGCCUUCAGAAUCAAACUGGAACGGCACCAGCAGCCUUCCUGGGUCUCCAGCUUGCAGACAGCAGACUGUGGAACUUCUCAGCCUCCAUAAUCACAUGAGUCAAUUCCUUAUAAUAAACCUCUCUCUCUCUCGACAGGUAGAUAGAAAGAUAGAUAGAUAGAUAGAUAGACAGAUAGAUAGAUAGAUCCCUUUACAGCAGGUGGCAGCUAAGGAGGAUCUUCCUAGUGGAGGCUGCAUGAACAUAAAGGGCAGCCCUAGUGCUGGAUCCUGGCCCUUGCAGGUGAGACGGCUCUGAUGAGCAGAGGAACACCAGGGUUCUCCGUCUCCAAAUUAGAUAAAAUGACCUGGACAUACAUGGAGUGGUUUUAAGAAGCAGAGAGUUUAACAGGCAAGAAAGAAGGGAGAAGAAAGAAGGAAGAAGCUCCCCUGUUACAGACACAGAGGAAUGGGGAGCUCCAAAGCCAAGAGAGAAGACCCCCUGUGCCACGGAAAAGUGGCUGCUUAUAUAAAUAGGCUGGAGGAGGUGAUGUCUGAUUUGCAUAGGGCUCAGGGGAUUGGUUCCACCAGGCAUGUCACUCACGUAGCCUGCAGAAAAAACUGGCCCUCCC
rnacentral:lncRNA from 1 species